AGUUGAACGAACCACUUCGGUGGAGAGUAGCGGAAGGGUGAGGAACGCGUGAGUAAUCUGCCCCCAAGUUGGGAAUAACAGCUGGAAACGGCUGCUAAUACCGAAUGUGGCUAUUUUCUUGCAUGAGGAGAUGGCUAAAGAUUUAUCGCUUGGGGAUGAGCUCGCGUCCCAUUAGGUAGUUGGUGAGGUAACGGCCCACCAAGCCGAUGAUGGGUAGCUGGUCUGAGAGGAUGGUCAGCCACACUGGGACUGAGACACUGCCCAGACUCCUACGGGAGGCUGCAGUCGAGAAUCUUGGGCAAUGCGCGAAAGCGUGACCCAGCAAUGCCGCGUGUGUGAUGAAGGUCUUCGGAUUGUAAAACACUGUCUCCCGUGACGAUAAUGACGGUAGCGGGGAAGGAAGCCACGGCUAACUACGUGCCAGCAGCCGCGGUAAUACGUAGGUGGCGAGCGUUGUUCGGAUUUAUUGGGCGUAAAGGGUCUGUAGGAGGUUUGUUAAAUACGGGGUGAAAUCCGGGAGCUCAACUCCCGAACUGCCCUGUAGACUGACAGACUGGAGUACCGGAGAGGUAAGCGGAAUACCAAGUGUAGCGGUGGAAUGCGUAGAUAUUUGGUAGAACACCAAGAGCGAAGGCAGCUUACUGGCCGGCAACUGACUCUGAAAGACGAAAGCAUGGGGAGCAAACAGGAUUAGAUACCCUGGUAGUCCAUGCCGUAAACGUUGUCAACUUGAUGUGGGUGGAUUUAGUCCUGUCCGUAUCGAAGCCAACGCGAUAAGUUGACCGCCUGGGGACUACGGCCGCAAGGCUAAAACUCAAAGGAAUUGACGGGGGCCCGCACAAGCGGUGGAGCAUGUGGCUUA
rnacentral:rRNA from 1 species